rnacentral:ncRNA from 1 species
AUCCUAGCCUUACUAUUAAUGAUUUCUUAACUUACACAUGCAAGUCUCAGCACACCCGUGAGUACCGCCCUCGUGACUUCUACUAGCAUCAGGAGCUGAUAUCAGGCACAACUAAGCGCCCAUAAUAUCUAGUCUUACCACACCCCCAAGGGUCUUCAGCAGUGAUAAAUAUUGUAUAUAAGCGAAAGCUUGACUCAGUUAAAGAAAAAAGAGCCGGCCAACUUAGUGCCAGCCGCCGCGGCUACACUAGGGACUCAAAUUAAUAGUCAUCGGCGUUAAGCGUGAUUAAAGCCAUUCCCAAUAGGGUCAAAUUAACACUCAGUAGUAACAAGCCUGCUGUUAAGAAGAUCAUAAACGAAAGUUACCCUACCCAUACUGCUUAAAGACACGACAGCUAGGAACACAAACUGGGAUUAGAUACCCCACUAUGCCUAGCCGUAAAUAAUUAACUUACAUCAACCAACGCCAGGGAACUACGAGCAACGCUUAAAACCCAAAGGACUUGACGGUGUCCCACCCAACUAGAGGAGCCUGUUCUAUAAUCGAUAAUCCCCGCUAUACCCUACCACUCCUAGCUUUUCAGCCUGUAUACCUCCGUCGAAAGCCUACCAUAUGAAUGUACUCCAGUAAGCUCAAUGAUUAACCAUCAACAUGUCAGGUCAAGGUGCAGCCCAAGAAGUGGGAAGUAACGGGCUACAAUUUCUAAAAUAGAAUACACGAAAAUCUGUGUGAAACCACGGAUAUGAAGGCGGAUUUAGUAGUAAAAAGGAAGUAGAGAGCCCUUUUUAACCCGGCUCUGGGACGUGUACACACCGCCCGUCGCCCUCUUCAAUAACAUACUUUAUAGUUCUUAACCCACUCUUAUUAUUUAGAAGAGGUAAGUCGUAACAUGGUAAGUGUACUGGAAAGUGCACUUAGAUUAUUA